CCCGCCCAAGUGUUAGGCUCUUGAUUCCCCCCACACCCAUAGCUUGCACUCAGUACCCACCCCUGCCACUCAUUGGGUCAGUUCAGUGAGGAAUCCAUCCCUGGGAUGUGCCCACCCCUUUUACCUCCUAGAAUGAGCUCUCCAGCCCUGCAAGAUAGGUGCAGGUACCAUACACACACACCCAACCAUCCUGGCAGCUCCCCAUUGGGAAGGGAGAGUCCUGGGAGUGUGAAGUCCUGCCUCAGAACCAGGGUCACCUGCCCAUCAUGGCCUCAGAGGGGAGAGGGAGGGGAGUCUGAAGGGCUGGGAGCUGCUGCCCACAUGGCUCUUUCCCACCCAUGUGCUUCUACUCCCUUAAGGAUUCCUUGCUGCUGAACCCCCCCUCCCCCAUAUGCCUUCUGGAAGAAGAAGGGGCUCUAGCCUUCUGUCUCAGGCACAAGCCCUCCUGUUCAGGGUCAGAGCCUCAGCGCCCUGCCUUCUGCAUGAUCCCAAAGCACAAUUGGUGAGCGGGGAAGGGGCUGCCUCUCCCUGCCUCCCACUCCCUUGGUCAGGCAGAAUGGUUGGCUGUGCUGCCUCCAUACACAGGAAGUCACCCUCUUCAACAUACUGACUUGAGGCCUGCCUUCCCACUGCUACCCACGAAAUCUGGAUGUCCCUUGGGCAGUUUUCUAUAAAGUCUGCAAUAAUCUCCGAUACUCUGCUCUUGCACAGGAUAAGUCAUGGAAAGCUGAAGUGACUUCGGGGAGACCCAGCAGAGCAGGAGAGGAGAACUGAACAAAAACUGGGGCUGGACUCCAGCUGAGGUGGUCAUGCCAAAGAGAAUGUGGAAUGGCUUCACCCAAGGAGCAAACUGGGGUCAUGGGCUCCAGCGGUGUCUGAGAGGGAUCAGAGUUUUGGCAACUUCUCCCAAGGCCAUAAGGCUGAUCAAUGGCAGAGGGGUGAGGAGAAGACUUCUUGGCAGUUUCUAAAAGGGGGUGCAGGAACCAGGUUGGAGUUGGAGCCACAGACAAGGGAAGAAAGCACCUGACUGAGCCACCAGUCAGGGACACCGGUUUCUGGUCUAUGUCCUACCAGGGUCUUGUGAGACAGAAAUAAAAGCACAGCAGGCAUCUGUCACAAAGGAUCUUUAAUGGUCUCCUAUUGAUGCUUCUUUUGUUCAUUUGUCCUGUUAGAGUUGAAUAAACUGUAAUAACUUAUCUGACAUAAUAAGGAAUGCAACCAGUACAACAAAUAAACCUGGCAGGUGGCCCAAGAAUGAGGGUGUCACAAAAUAAUCACUGAACAGAAGAGUCCACAGAUCUGGAGACACAGUUCCAGCCACCUGUCACUCCCCGUUCCCAGGGCCCACACACAGUCACUGUGUCAGGCUGAGAGCUGGCUCCCAUGGAGUAGGAAGAGGGAACCCCCCGUGACAGUGUCUGUGGCCAGACCUUAACACUGAGCAGAGAUGUAAAUAAGACAGUGCAACCUGUACUCAUUCCCAAGUGCUCUGAUCUGCAGUGCAGGCCAUGACCGCAGUCCGAGUUUGUGAGGCUCCCACCUCUCUUACGACACCACCUCUCAUACCCACCCCCUCCUAGGACCCUUGCAGUAAUCCCUGCGCAGUGGGCAGAGUCUGGUACUAGCCCCAUCUUACACAUGGAGAAACUGAGGUCAGUGGGUUCCCAAGGGCAUACUUGGACUCUUCGUAGAACACCAGUUGGCACUUUCUCCCAUGCCACAUGGCUUGCUGUGCCCUAAGCCUCACAUUAUCAUCUAGAAUGCCCUGCGGAGAUGAAGGUGGGGCAGGCAGGAUUCUGUGCCAAGGGCAGGCCCAGGUCUCAUUAAAGUGCCCACCCCUUAGUCAGCCCCCCCGGUGAGGGGCCUGGGCAGAGGGCAGGCUGGCAGGAAGAGAAUUCUGGAGACUGCAGAUGGGGGACCAACCUCUUUUGAAGGCAUCCUCCUGUGGCCACACACUUGGUUGUCAACAAACGUGGAUGUGGAAUCCUAUUAGAAUCGCCGGAGGGCAACUCGCUGCCGAAAAGGUCUAUAGACAGAUCCUGCUCUCACAGGUGGGACUUUUGUCAUGAAGUCCUGCCUCAGUAUCUCUUUUAUGAAACCCGGACUGCCAUCUAUCUGGUUGUAUAUAAAGAAGAAUCUGACUCUAGUUUCUCUUCUCCCAUCACACUAUUCCUUCUGUCAUCCAAUGGUCCUGGGCCAGGAGAGUUGUGUGUCAUACUGGGGUGCAGACACAAGUCCUGGGGUGAGGGCUAAGCCUGUUUCCUUGCUCCACAAACCCCACGCUGCAUGGGCCAGUAUCAGGGUCAAGGUCCAUCCUCACUGAGCACCAGGCCUCUGCCCAAAUCAAGCCUAGGUCAGCACUUCAGGGUGGGGGGCUAAAAAAUCAUCAGAUGUGUGUGUGUGUGUAACAAAGAUACUUUGCAUUGGAAUGCUAGGGACAUUCCAACAUGAAAAGCAAGGGUAGAACCUGUGCUUGCUGGUCUAAGAUCAAACCUCAGAAUGGUGGUUUGAAGAAUUUUUGUCUUCAAAACAAAGUUUGAAGGUAAAACCUUAAUAGGCAAGAUGGAUAAAAGCAGAGUUGUCCUGGUGGAAGUCGGAAUGGGGGGCGGGCUGGAGACCUAUCCUAUGCCUCCACCCCUCUCUUCCCACCUUAGCAGCUCCUGACAAAGCUCUGUGGGAUACCAAGGGUUCCACAGCACCUGGUUUGAAAACACUGUGUCACAGUGUCUGCAGAUCAUGGGUCGCAGGGACCUGUGCUUUGACUUCUCUUUUGGAGUGGAGUUGGGGAAGAGUGACGAGGUGGGUGGAUGCUCCUCCUUCAACAGGCCUCUCUUCGAAGCCACUGUGCAGUGACCCUGCAAGAGUGUAUCAGAGGUGGUGAUCCUGCCCCAACAGGUAGGCCGUUUCAGUCCUGGAGGGAGGACAAAGUGAUGGAGCUACCUGGGCCAAGAUGACAAAACGCAGACCCAGUGCAGGCUUAUACACGAGGGGUGGGGGAGGAGUCUGUUUUGGUCCUUGUCGACUUUAAAAAGUAUCAGAACAGGUAUAGGUCUAUGUCCAUGAAACCCUAUAGGAGUUCAAGAGUGGAGCCUAAUGCCUUCCUCUAGGAUGAGUGGAGAAUGUCCAGUCCCCAGUCACUGGCAGGACGGAAGCUGCCUUUGUGGGUUAAAGAAACCACUGGGGGACAGGUCAGCUGGGGCUCAACUCUCAGCACAAGAGGCCUGGGUUUUCCCCAAACCCAAA